GAUGAACGCUGGCGGCGUGCCUAAUACAUGCAAGUCGAGCGAACAGACGAGGAGUUUGCUCCUCAGACGUUAGCGGCGGACGGGUGAGUAACACGUGGAUAACCUACCUAUAAGACUGGGAUAACUUCGGGAAACCGGAGCUAAUCCCGGAUAAUAUAUUGAACCGCAUGGUUCAAUAGUGAAAGACGGUUUUGCUUUCACUUAUAGAUGGAUCCGCGCCGCAUUAGCUAAUUGGUAAGGUAACGGCUUACCAAGGCAACGAUGCGUAGCCGACCGGAGCGGGUGAUAGGCCACACGGGAACGGAGACACGGUCCAGACUCCUACGGGAGGCAGCAGUAGGGAAUGUGCGGCAAAGGGCGAAAGCCUGACGGAGCAACGCCGCGUGAGUGAUGAAGGUCUUCGGAUGGUAAAGCUCUGCUAUUAGGGAAGAACAAAUGUGUAAGUAGCUAUGCACGUCUUGACGGUACCUAAUCAGAAAGCCACGGCUAACUACGUG
rnacentral:rRNA from 1 species